rnacentral:rRNA from 1 species
UACAGAGGUGGCAAGCGUUGUUCGGAAUUACUGGGCGUAAAGGGCGCGUAGGCGGCCUUCUAAGUCAGACGUGAAAUCCCCCGGCUUAACCUGGGAACUGCGUCUGAUACUGGGAGGCUUGAGUAUGGGAGAGGGAUGUAGAAUUCCAGGUGUAGCGGUGAAAUGCGCAGAUAUCAGGAAGAACACCCGUGGCGAAGGCGGUUCUCUGGGACGGUACUGACGCUGAGACGCGAAAGCGUGGGGAGCGAACAGG